GGAGUCUUAGCUCAGUGGUAGAGCGAAGGAUUGCAGAUCCUUAGGUCGCUGGUUCGAUCCCGGCAGGCUCCU
rnacentral:tRNA from 1 species